rnacentral:tRNA from 1 species
GCGGUUGUAGUAUAAUGGCAGUACGUGCGGUUGUGGUCCGCAAGACGAGAGUUCGAUUCUCUCCUUCCGCC